rnacentral:sRNA from 1 species
GCCAGCGCUCCAGUGGGCGGGGGUGCGGCAGGUGACUCCAGACCAAGGAGGAUGAGCUGCUGUCCCUGGAAGAGAACGAAUGGAGGAAAGCAGCUCCUACGAAGUUCCCUCUGUGGCUGCUGCUGAUCUGGAGGAGGGUGCUGGUCAGACUAGGAGCUUGCCUGCCACCCCCUCCAAAGAUGUUCACAAGGGUGUUGGAGGCAUCAUCUUUUCCUCCUCACCGAUUUUAGACUUGAGUGAAAGUGGUCUGUGCCGUUUGGAGGAGGUCUUUAGAAUCCCCAGCCUUCAACAAUUGCAUCUGCAAAGGAAUGCCCUGUGUGUGAUUCCUCAAGAUUUCUUUCAGUUGCUUCCGAACCUGACUUGGCUGGACCUCCGGUGCAAUAGAAUUAAAGCGCUUCCUUCUGGGAUUGGAGCUCACAAGGAGCGUAACCACGCUGAAAGCACUGAACCUAAGACACUGCCCUCUGGAAUUCCCUCCUCAGCUCGUUGUGCAGAAGGGAUUGGUGGCUAUCCAGCGCUUCCUGCGGGUGUGGGCAGUAGAACACUCUUUCCCCAGAAAUCCAACUUCUCAAGAGGCUCCACCGGUUAGAGAGAUGACCCUCUGUGACCUCUCGAGCCCAGGACUGGAGUUGUCUGGAGACCACGCGUCUAACCAAGGAGCUGUGAAUGCUCAGGACCCAGAGGGGGCUGUGAUGAAAGAGAAGGCCGGCUUUCUCCCGCCUGUGGAAAAGCCAGACCUGAGUGAACUCAGGAAGUCUGCCGACUCCUCAGAGAACUGGCCCAGCGAGGAGGAGAUCAGGCGCUUUUGGAAGCUGAGGCAGGAGAUUGUUGAGCACGUGAAGGCAGACGUUCUGGGAGAUCAGCUCUUGACGAGGGAAUUACCUCCAAAUCUCAAGGCGACCUUGAACAUUGAGAAAGAACUACCAAAGCCAAGACACGUUUUCAGGACAAGGGUCCCUAGGAAACAGGCUCUGCAGAGGCUACAUGAGAGAAAAACUCGAAUCAUGGGUGUGGUAGGGCGUGCGCCUACACAUAUGGGAGAAGGAAGACAGCCUCCUCCAGGAGCAUCUUACCCGACCUCUUGUCGCCGUACCAAAUCGCGAUCCGAGCAAAAAGACUGGAAGAGAGCCGAGCGGCAGCGCUCCGAGAGCUCCAGGAGAAGCAGGCUCUGAUGGAGCAGCAGAGACGAGAGAAAAGGGCACUGCAGGAGUGGAGAGAGCGAGCCCAGAGGAUGAGGAAGAGGAAGGAAGAGCUCAGCAAACUCCUGCCUCUGCGGAGGAGCAUGGUGGCAUCAAAGACUCCCUCUGCCACAGAUCUGAUAGAUAACGGGAAAGUACCACUGAAUCCAGCUGGAAAAAUGAAACCAAGCAAAGAGAAAUCACCACAAGCAAGUAAAGAAACGCG